rnacentral:lncRNA from 1 species
GAAAGCUCAUAGGUCAUAUCUUGAUGUGUCAAUGUGCAGAGCCUUGCCCACAAAAAAACAACUCCACCACACUACUGAAAAGCAGAAAGGAAUGCACGAUUACAAAUUGCGUGUGAACAAUUUCUCCAUGGCAUGGGGGCCAAGCAGCCACUUACCCCUGAACUUUCAUUUUCAUCCACCAAAUCACCACCUCAAAUCAAUCGGUUCACACAAGACCGAAAUCCAAAUCCCCCCCACAUGCCAUCCACACACACACAAAAGGGAACACAUGUGAGCCCAAGACAAAGCGGAAUAUGCUGCCGACCUAUCCAUCAACCCAUGCAUGUCCAUCAUCGAACGGAGACAGAUAGAGCAAGAUGCCAUGCCGAGUACCAGUGUAUCACCAUAUGGCUCAUCCCCAGCCGUCCCUUCCACUAGUGCUGAGCGAGCUGCCGGGCGGGGCGAUCAAUCUCUCCGGCCAUAACGCAUCGUGAGAUUCGCCGUGGUCGCCGUCAGAUUCCUGCGCUGCAGGGUCAUUGUUUCAGGGAAAGAAACGAUGGGAUGGGAUGGCAACGGCCAUGAACGACUUAUCUAGGUAUUCUUUGGAAUAAUCAACAGUGCUUCUGAUCACCUCGUUUUGAUUCUAGUGCGUGAGUGUACGGGUGGAUGGCUGGUGGUGCGUCGGCAAG